rnacentral:rRNA from 1 species
AGAGUUUGAUCCUGGCUUAGGAUGAACGCUAGCUACAGGCUUAACACAUGCAAGUCGAGGGGCAGCAUUGGAGUAGCAAUACUCAGAUGGCGACCGGCGCACGGGUGAGUAACACGUAUCCAACCUGCCGCUUACUCGGGGAUAGCCCUUCGAAAGAAAGAUUAAUACCCGAUGGUAUAAAGAGUUCGCAUGUUCUCUUUAUUAAAGAAUUUCGGUAAGCGAUGGGGAUGCGUUCCAUUAGAUAGUUGGCGGGGUAACGGCCCACCAAGUCUACGAUGGAUAGGGGUUCUGAGAGGAAGGUCCCCCACAUUGGAACUGAGACACGGUCCAAACUCCUACGGGAGGCAGCAGUGAGGAAUAUUGGUCAAUGGACGCGAGUCUGAACCAGCCAAAGUAGCGUGAAGGAUGACUGCCCUAUGGGUUGUAAACUUCUUUUAUAAGGGAAUAAAGUGAGGGACGUGUCCCUUUUUGUAUGUACCUUAUGAAUAAGGAUCGGCUAACUCCGUGCCAGCCGCGGC